GACGAACGCUGGCGGCGUGCUUAACACAUGCAAGUCGAACGGAAAGGCCUGCUUUCCCUUGUGGAUUGCGGGUACUCGAGUGGCGAACGGGUGAGUAACACGUGAGUGAUCUGCCCCCAACUUGGGUAUAAGCCUGGGAAACUGGGUCUAAUUCCCGAUAGGACUGCAGGGUGGUGCCUGUGGUGGAAAACGAUUUUCUAGUGGUUGGGGAUGAGCUCGCUGCCUAUCAGCUUGUUGGUGGGGUAAUGGCCUACCAAGGCGGCGACGGGUAGCCGGCCUGAGAGGGUGGACGGCCACAUUGGGACUGAGAUACGGCCCAGACUCCUACGGGAGGCAGCAGUGGGGAAUAUUGCACAAUGGGCGGAAGCCUGAUGCAGCGACGCCGUGUGGGGGAUGACGGCCUUCGGGUUGUAAACUCCUUUCGACCGCGAGGAAGCCACCUGGUUGGAAGGGUGGUGACGGUAGUGGUAGAAGAAGCACCGGCUAACUACGUG
rnacentral:rRNA from 1 species